rnacentral:rRNA from 1 species
UACGUAGGGGGCGAGCGUUGUCCGGAAUCAUUGGGCGUAAAGAGCUCGUAGGCGGUUCAGCAAGUCGGCUGUGAAAUUCCGAGGCUCAACCUCGGAACUGCAGUCGAUACUGCUGUGACUCGAGUCCGGUAGAGGAGAAUGGAAUUCCCGGUGUAGCGGUGAAAUGCGCAGAUAUCAGGAGGAACACCAAUGGCGAAGGCAGCACUCUGGGACGUGACUGACGCUGAGACGCGAAAGCUAGGGGAGCAAACGGG